AAAUGUGUACAGUCUCAUAUUUUAAGUUGUUUAGUGUCAUGUUAAAAGUUUAUUGUUUUACAGUUAAAGUUGCCGAGUAUCACAUCUAAAAUAAUGUAGUCUUACAUUUUAAGUUGUUAAUUCUCACAUUUAAAGUUGUAAAGUUUCACAGUGAAAGUUGUUUUAGUCAAAACUAUUUAUGGGGAAAGUCUCGCACUUAAAAUUACUGAAGUCAUGCCUGUUUUUUUAUAUUUACUUUAAUGCCCCCGGUAGGGUGGCAAAAUAGCAGUUGAACUGUCUGUCAGUCCGUUCGUCUGAAAACGUUAACAUAGGCCAUAACUUUUGCAUUAUUAAAAAUCACAAUUUGAUAUUUGGCAUGCAUGUGUAUCCCAUGCAGUUGCAAAAUUUAAGUGGUGAAAGGUCAAAGUCAUCCUGAAGAUAAAAGGUAAAAACAGACAAAUCAAAUGGAAGUAACACGCUUAAAAGGGAGAUAAUUUAUAUGUAUCAUUUGGCAGGUACAUAUCAUUUUUUCAAGGGAAGUAAUAUUUGUAAAGGGGUAUAAUCAAAAACAAAAAUAUAUAAUCAAAGCGGCGCAGUAGGGGCAUUGUGUAUCUGACAAACACAUCCAAUGUAAAAAAAAGUAUGACACAUUGCUAUGAACUGUACUUUACUAUGUAUUUUUCGCGGUUUAAAACCAAAAAUUUUCAAUAUUAAGUUUUUGGGGCAUAACAUAUUGAUACAACGCUAUCCUGAGUUCUUAUUGGUAAAACAUUAAUUGCAAUAUUCUAAAUAUUAAUUAUAGACGCAACGUUUGGCAUUGAAGAGCAGGUGUGUUAAGUAUUUUGUUGCAGGGCAAAUUCAUUUGUCACUAAGUCUAAACCAAUCGGGUUUUAGUUUACUUUCUAUUUUCUUUUCAGCAAACACUAUAAGCCGCCAACAUAAAAACAUCGUUGAAGUGAAAGUCGAUGACAAUCCUGACCCCUUCGCUUAAGUAAUUCAGCACAAAAACGUCUUGCGUCAGAGUAGCAAGUCCCCAAACAUCUUCUCCCAUGUUGGCUUCAUCAACACUUCUUACAGCGGAGCCUUGGGAGUUUGACUUCCAUCCCAGCAUCGAUGUUGCUUAGCAACAAUUCAAUGCUGGGAAUCAACAAAUUGUUCCAGACGAGUGGCUUACACAGAAACUACUUGAUCCAACAGAUAGAGCAGGCGUUGCGUGACUUGUUCCUUAUUGCGACUGACCUCAAUAAGUUGCUCUCGAAUAAUGUGAACCUUAUGCCAGUAUGUGAUUGACGCCAUUUAACAACAGUUGCUGUUGAGAAUUCCAGGGUUUGAGGUGGCAACUUUGGUGUGGGAACUCGCUCUAUCUCUGUCUAUGGCCCGGUGAAAGCAGCAGCAAUAAGAACAAUAAGUAGUAUCUUAGCGGUGUUCUGGGAUACAGGGCUUCAUGUAUGUGCUUAAAGUGUCAUCCCAGAAUAUCCUGUGCAGAUUGCACAUACAUCAAGUCCUAUUAAAGUGUCAUCCCAGAAUAUCCUGUGCAGAGUGCACAUACAUCAAGUCCUAUUAAAGUGUCAUCCCAGAUUAGCUUGUGCAGACUGCACAUACAUUAAGUCCUAUUAAAGUGUCAUCCCAGAUUAGCCUGUGCAGACUGCACAUACAUUAAGUCCUAAUAAAGUGUCAUCCCAGAUUAGCCUGUGCAGACUGCACAUGCAUUAAGUCCUAUUAAAGCGUCAUCCCAGUUUAGCCUGUGCAGACUGCACAUACAUUAAGCCCUAUUAAAUUGUCAUCCCAGAUUAGCCUGUGCAGACUGCACAUACAUUGAGUCCUAUUUUCCCAGAAUGAGGCUCAUAUACUUCACUUUACAUCAGUAUUUUAUGUGCCUGAAAAGUUACUAGCAUCAAAUGGGAAUUAUGUGCUUUUACAUUGAUCACACAUAGUAAAUAAAAUGCAAAUAGCACUUGAUCUGAUAUCAAUUUUAAUCAUAGACGGUCAGGGCAUUAAGUUUUGUAUAUUUUCGACCGAAAUUCAGCCACUGAACCAAAAGUUUAUCCUUGCAGAACAAUCUGCUUUAAUACAAUUGUUAAAUUAUAUUUAAAUUUAGUAAAAUAAUUAUGUAAAAGCCUUCAGCUCAUUUCAAAAUUAUUUUCUUCAUUUAUUUUCAAUAUUUAUUUAAAUUACUGGAUUUUGUUUUAAUAGCCUGUUCCAAUAGGAACCCAUGCAAUCAUAGAUCGGUACCUAGCUGAACAACAGGCUGUCUGGUCAGCUGGGCCCAGACGCCCGGUGACACUUCCUGGCCCAGGACCUUGGGGCAAAUGCUCAGCUAGUCCUAUCCGCAGGGUGGAGCCACACUGAACCUGGGGCGCCAUACUUUCUUGGCCAGGGGCCAAGAUUACCUCGUCAAUAAGGGACACAUUCCUGGGAUGCCCUAAGGUCUUUCUAUCUGUUCACAGAGGUCUUAUACUCACAAGUUCAAGCCCAGUGAGCGAUGUUCACCAAAUCAAAUUCUGCAUCUCAAUAGCAUUUGAACCAGCAACAGUCAUCAUUCGACUUUCUGGCAUGUCUAUGGUGUGGAACCCUCAGUCUAUGAACAUCAUAACAGCACAUGAACCAGCAGCAGCCAUCAUCUCAAGAUUCUGGUAUAUCCAUGGUACAGGACCCUUAGUCUGUACAGAUCUUGCAGAACGAACUUCAGAUGCAAUUUGAGGAAAUCAAACCAUCCAAUUAGAAACACAGCCUGUUGCAGCAAUUUUUAACAUAUUGACCCCAGUGAAACCUAAGAAGCUCAGAGUUACAUACUGUUUUAGAUGUGCUAGUCUUCACAUACCUCCUGGUUUGUUCAACACUUACUCUGAAUCUUUGAAUGUUAUGAAGUGUGAAAAUGAAUGACCUUGUUCAGAUCGAAAUGGCAGAAUGACACAUCACAACAAAUCAAGUGGAAAGCCACAAAGUCAUGUCAACAGCCACAUGUUGUAUGUUGCCAGCCAAGUUGUAUUAAAAAACACAAUAGCUUACGUUUUAUGUUAUAUGUGACCAACCAAGUUAUAUUCAUACAAAAACAAUAGUUUAUGUUU